ACUUAGAUCUAAUAGUGAAAAAUUAGAUAAUACCAAGUAUUUGGUACUAUUCAUAAUAAUUCAGCCGGAGUAACCGUCCAUAGCGCAAGUGGCAAAGGGUUUGGUAGUUGGUAUCCGAGGUCUGAACUUUGAAUUCUAGUUGAUUCACAUUUCUAGCUAAGUUUAUAUUUUUCUAAAUGAAAUAAACAAAGCCGGUAACAUACUGCCUAUCUCUCUCUAAAAAAAACAGAAGAUAAUAUCAAGUCGAACUAUAUAUAUAUAUAUAUAGGUUUAUAUACUACCGGUAGUACGGAGACCUUCGUGCUACCAAGUUGUUUUCAAUAAUGUAACUUCAAAUCGACGAUCGGCUCCAUUAGACACCAGUUACACUAUUGAAAGUAUUUGAAAACUAAAUUUCAUAAUUUUUCGGCAUCAUUUAUCUAUGAAACGAGUAGUCUAAAAAUGAACAGUUAAAAAUAAAAAAUCUCAUAAAAAAUAAUGAUAAAAGACUUGAAUUUAAGAUCAAAAAUAUUGAUCUUACUCUAAAUAGUGAAAAAAAAAUUUAUAAAAAUUUCAUCAGAUUUGGAUUAUUUUGCACCAUUAAAUUAACAAACAUAUCAUAGCAAUCAAUAAAAUUAUCAAUUUUGAGAUCUUUUGAUCACUAGCCAAAUAAUGUCGCAAAAUUAUGAAAUUUAAUUUCUAAAUACUUUUAAAAGUGUAGAUCAAGUUUAACAAAGCCGAUCGUUGAUUUGGAAUCUGCAUAAUUGAAAACAACUUGAUAGCACGGAGGCCUCCGUACUAUCAAUAGUAUACCAGCCUAGCUCUGUGUGUAUAUAUAAAAUUAAAAAA
rnacentral:lncRNA from 1 species